GCGUUUCAGGUGACCCACUCCUCCUCCCAAGGGAAGCCUGAAGGAACAGCGACACUCCUCCUCCCAGUCGCUGUUCAACAGUUCAAAAAGCCUGCCGCACCUCCUCCCGCGGCAGGCUUCUUCU
rnacentral:sRNA from 1 species